GGGUGUUCUGUGCAACGGAGGUCUUUUAGUAGUUUUCACAGUGAAAAAUGCUACAGGACUUGUUGAGCCCCAGACCAUCUGACUGUGAAGGAAAAAAAAUCUGAUGGAAAAAAGUAUUCUCUGACACAAAAUAAUUAUCCUAUGGCAAAAUGGUAUGACCAGUGGUUACAUCCUCCAGAGGAAGUGUUUGAACGCAUAGACUUUUUCUUUCUGGUAACAGUGCAAGGACUGCACAUAUGGAGUGGUGAAUGAGUUGGAUUAACUCCCUGAUCCUGAGCUACUCUGCUAC